rnacentral:lncRNA from 1 species
UUCCUGUAAAGGCAUAGCUAAGAAAAGCUCACCUUAGAUUUUCAGAGAUAAAAGAUUUGGAAAACUUCAAACGAUUGAAAAUAUUAAAAGAUCACUGUUUCAUUAAGUUUUGCCUUGAACUUUGAGAUCUCUUUGAAUUUCUGAAAACAGUUUUCUGACCUAUGUAGAUUGAAAUUUUUUUGAUGUUUGCUUUUGGAAAGUUGUGGAUCAAGCGGUGUUGAUAUCACUGUUCUAUUGGAUUUUGAUUCUGCGAGUUCAAUAUCCUGAAUCUGGGGCUGUGUGAUUGCUGGUGUUGAUUUCUGAUUUUACUCCACGGGUAUCUCAUUUUCCCUUUUUUGUUUUACUCUCCAGGUAUACACUUUUGACUUUAGGCAUGUAAAAAUGGCUUGUGAAGUGUUUGUGAUAGAGAUAUCUGAAG